UCUCCGUUGGUGAACCAGCGGAGGGAUCAUUACAGGACUCGCAAGACUCCUUCACCCUGUGAACCUCACUACAAGCACGUUGCUUCAGCGGGUGUCCCGGCGGGGGUUUUCCCUCGCCGGGGCGCACAGCCCGCCGGCAGCCUACUAUACUCUGUCUCUUUGCGUUGGCAUCUCGAGAAAAAACAAACAAGUUAAAACUUUCAACAACGGAUCUCUUGGUUCUG
rnacentral:misc_RNA from 1 species